CAGUUUCUUAGUUUAAUCCUGUUAUUGCUUGGGAAAGCUGACAUUGAUCGGGUUCACUGCUGCCAGCAGGAGUCUUAACAGCUGUAUUAACAUCAAAGGUCCUGUCGAUUCAAUCUGCUGCUGCUUGAGGGAAGUUGUGAGCAGCAACAAAUCAGAGAUGCAGCUUUCUUCAGUUCCCUUUCUAAGGAAGAAGAUAGACUAUGCCAGGGGAGAUCCUCUGUGUCUCCGGCUCUACAGUAGCAAGAGAAAGGAGGGUUACUCUACCUACAUAUAUAAAGUCCUAAAGCAAACUCAUCAAGUCUCAGGGGUCUCCUGCUGGAUUGCUGAUGUCAUAAAUUCUCUGGAUAAACCACAGUUGUUUGGGAAAGUUGCAUUAGAGGCUGCCAGGUUGUCUCUCUACAACAAGAGAAGCCUCAUUACCUGCAGGGAGGUCCAUGCUGCAAUGAAGUUAGUGCUUCUGCGUGAGCUCUCCAAGCAAGAUAGGUGUGAGACCAUCAAAGCUGUGACUAAGUCCACUGGCUGUAAAUGAACUCUUAUUAAUAUGUAAUGGUUUUAAUGCUUG